rnacentral:rRNA from 1 species
UACGUAGGGUGCAAGCGUUAAUCGGAAUUACUGGGCGUAAAGCGUGCGCAGGCGGUUGUGCAAGACAGAUGUGAAAUCCCCGGGCUCAACCUGGGAAUUGCAUUUGUGACUGCACGGCUAGAGUGUGUCAGAGGGGGGGUAGAAUUCCACGUGUAGCAGUGAAAUGCGUAGAGAUGUGGAGGAAUACCGAUGGCGAAGGCAGCCCCCUGGGAUAACAUGACGCUCAUGCACGAAAGCGUGGGGAGCAAACAGG